GACGAACGCUGGCGGCGUGCUUAACACAUGCAAGUCGAACGGAAAGGCCCUGCUUUUGUGGGGUGCUCGAGUGGCGAACGGGUGAGUAACACGUGAGUAACCUGCCCUUGACUUUGGGAUAACUUCAGGAAACUGGGGCUCAUACCGGAUAGGAGCUCCUGCUGCAUGGUGGGGGUUGGAAAGUUUCGGCGGUUGGGGAUGGACUCGCGGCUUAUCAGCUUGUUGGUGGGGUAGUGGCUUACCAAGGCUUUGACGGGUAGCCGGCCUGAGAGGGUGACCGGCCACAUUGGAACUGAGAUACGGCCCAGACUCCUACGGGAGGCAGCAGUGGGAAAUAUUGCACAAUGGGCGGAAGCCUGAUGCAGCAACGCCGCGUGCGGGAUGACGGCCUUCGGGUUGUAAACCGCUUUCGCCUGUGACGAAGCGUGAGUGACGGUAAUGGGUAAAGAAGCACCGGCUAACUACGUG
rnacentral:rRNA from 1 species